rnacentral:rRNA from 1 species
AUACGUAAGGGGCGAGCGUUGUCCGGAUUCACUGGGCGUAAAGGGCGCGUAGGCGGCGAUACAAGUCAGAGGUGAAAGCUAUGGGCCCAACCCAUAAACGGCCUUUGAAACUGUAUUGCUUGAGUAUUGCAGAGGAAAGUGGAAUUCAUGGUGUAGCGGUGAGAUGCGUAGAUAUCAUGGAGAACACCUAUGGCGAAGGCAGCUUGCUGGGCAAAUACUGACGCUGAGGCGCGAAAGCUAGGCUAGCGAACAGGAUUAGAAACCCCUGUAGUCC